UAACACAUAUCAGCCAAUACAACUAACACCAAGUCAGCACACGAACUGGGAAAGAUCCUCUUUUGUUCAAUUUCUUGAUCUUUUCCCUUGAAACAAUACAGUAAUAUUCAUUUACAAAAUCCAUCACAAUUUUCUUAUAGGAAGCAACUCCGUUGACAUCCCAUAUGCGAUUCAACACAUCUUGCCAUUCAGGUGGAAGAGUGUUUAUGAAAAAUCGCACCAUCUCUGACUGUGACAUAGGACGACCAUUCCAUACGACCUGUUGAAUUUUCCCGUUGAC
rnacentral:lncRNA from 1 species